GACGAACGCUGGCGGCGUGCUUAACACAUGCAAGUCGAACGGAAAGGCCUGCUUUCCCUUGUGGAUUGCGGGUACUCGAGUGGCGAACGGGUGAGUAACACGUGAGUGAUCUGCCCCCAACUUGGGUAUAAGCCUGGGAAACUGGGUCUAAUUCCCGAUAGGACUGCAGGGUGGUGCCUGAGGUGGAAAACGAUUUUCUAGUGGUUGGGGAUGAGCUCGCGGCCUAUCAGCUUGUUGGUGGGGUAAUGGCCUACCAAGGCGGCGACGGGUAGCCGGCCUGAGAGGGUGGACGGCCACAUUGGGACUGAGAUACGGCCCAGACUCCUACGGGAGGCAGCAGUGGGGAAUAUUGCACAAUGGGCGGAAGCCUGAUGCAGCGACGCCGCGUGGGGGAUGACGGCCUUCGGGUUGUAAACUCCUUUCGACCGCGAGGAAGCCACCUGGUUGGAAGGGUGGUGACGGUAGUGGUAGAAGAAGCACCGGCUAACUACGUG
rnacentral:rRNA from 1 species